rnacentral:tRNA from 1 species
GAAAAAGUAAUUAAAAAAUAAUAUAUUUUUGUCAAAAAUAAUUUGCCAUUAAAAGAGGCCUUUUUCU